AACGUAGGAGGCAAGCGUUAUCCGGAGUUACUGGGCGUAAAGCGUGCGUAGGCGGAUGGGUAAGUGAGUGGUGAAAGCGCCCGGCUAAACCGGGCGAGUGCCAAUCAGACUGCUCGUCUAGAGGCGGAUAGAGGGGUGCGGAAUUCCGGGUGUAGCGGUGAAAUGUGUAGAGAUCCGGAGGAACACCAGUGGUGCAAACGGCGCCCUGGGUCCGAACUGACGCUGAUGCACGAAAGCGUGGGGAGCGAACGGG
rnacentral:rRNA from 1 species